rnacentral:lncRNA from 1 species
CAUAAGGGUGAUAACGAUCCUUACCGCGUUCUUUCUUUGUCUCCACACCUCCUGAUUCAACCUCCUUUUUGGGUGGACCACUGCCAGAUGGUUUCUUUGCCACAGUACCAGAGGGGUUAUUUGCUUCGGCUGACAGAGCCUUUCCCUGAACUUUCUCCUUGAUCAUCCACCCUUCAAUUCUUUCCAAUCUCUCAGCCAUUGCUUUCUGCCCCAGGGCAAGCCCUUGCACCAUACUG